AAGAGAUGUUAAAUGUGUCACCCCAGAUCCUAACACCCCAAAGUGUGACAGAACAACCUCAAUAGUGAAACCUCCCACACUUUAACAGUGGGAAGUGAUGCCUCAUGGGGAAGAAUUGCCCUGAAAUGCUUUGGAGCAGCAGUGGGGUAUGAACAUCCAGCUGACCCAGCUCUGCUUCCAUCAGAGCAGUUUGGACUGAAGAAGAGCUCCUGCUGGGACAUUUUAAGAAUAAAAGCAAUUAACACAAAUAACAGUUGACUAUUUACAUUCUCAAGACCUGAUCUCUCUCUUAUUAAAAACAACUGAAAGACUCC
rnacentral:lncRNA from 1 species